UUAGAUGAUGAUGAUGAUGAUGAUGAUAACAAUAAUCGGAAUGAUGAUUUGAAUCCGUCUGAAUCGAUUCGAGCAUUAGUCUCUCCAGGUUUCACAAUUUCCAUAAUAUGUAUUCGCAGGAAAUCGAAUAAUAACGGGAGGAAUUAACACAGGAAGAAGAUAUGGAGUCUGAAGAGGAGGAGGAUAAUGAGAACGUUGACGAUGACAAUGAUGAUGAUAAUGAUGCCGAUGAUAAUGCUACUGAUAACGAGGAACAGAACAACGCAAAUAUUGAGGAUAGCUUUGAUGACAACGAUGAUGAUGGGGAAGAGGAGAAGGAAAUAUUAUAAUUGAUGAGAAAGAAAUAACUCAGGAGACAAUAGAGGAAGAAGAAAACAGAUAUUACGCACCUCUUGACAAUGAAAUACAAACUGGCGGUGAUGCUAUAUCGCGAUAUGCAAGGGAAGAAAACAUGUCACUGGAAGAAGAAGAAUCUUCACAAAAUUUCAAGAAUUCCAUCGACGAUGAACAUCAGCAGCAGCAGCAGCAGCAGCAGCAGCAGCAGCAGCAGCAAUGGCA